CUUUUGGUCUCAUUUUCUCAUGAAACAUACCAGUGCAAAUGUCUCCUUUUCUGCUAGGCAGCACUGUAAAUAAAAGCAUAUUUUACAAUCCUGUUCAAAUGACGGAAAGGGUUGGAGCCUGUCUUUUUCAGAUACUGUGAGGUCACAAUGUUUUCUAACUAGUAUUUAACAAGACAACUAUUUUUUUAAUGAAAUUUUUCUUUUUCUUACUUCACUGUUUUAAGUCUCCUGGUUUUCUCAUGGCCUCUAAGAUGUUUUAAGGACACUGAGGGAUCCUUUGUUCUGGAUCCCUCAGUGUCCUUAAAACAGACAUUUUUCAGUCUGUUUUUUUUUUUUCCUGUUUUACUUUAUAUACCAUCAGAAUAUGGAUCAUGUGUAUCCUGUUAGUAGCCACAUAGCCUUCUCCUAGCUCAAUGCCUAGCACGUAGUAAGCACUCAAUAUUUUUUUAAUUAAUGAAAUUUUUUUUAAAGGAGCAGUCCAAGGAUGGCGACAAGUCUUUUUUCUUUUACUUUCAAGACAGUUUUAGGAAGCAUUCCCUGUCUGUCUUCCAAAUAUAAUCUGGAUUUUAAUUUUGCAAAAAAAAAAAAAUACUGCAUUAUCUUUCCUGAUCAAGAAUGCCAGAUACUACACAGAAACUAUUAGGUGUUCCUGUCUCAGGGAAAGAGUCUGGCUAUUUUUUGUAAUUAGCAGUGCAAACAUUUCUUAAGGUUGCUGCUUUUCACAUCUCCACGAAAGUGCUGCAGCGAGGAACUGCAGUAGCCAAAACAGAUUAAUGUAGAUGAAAUUAGAGAGAUUUGUUGAUAGUAACAUUAAUGGCCAAAUUAAAGGCAAGUGAGAACUGAUGAUACUAGCAAUUUUUAAAUAAUAUACAGUAAACCCUAUCAGUUUUGGCUAAGAUGAGUGAAGCAAGCUGCUCUAAUUUAAGUAAGUAUCUGAGUUAUAAGAUUGAAUGACUAAAAGUGACAAUUCCUUUAGAACCUAUAGCUGGGCAGUAGACAAUUACGGCUUUAUUAGUAAUGGUUAUUAGUGAUAAUCUAUGCUUGAAUAUAAUGUCAGGAUUUUAAAAAUUUGCUCUUAAAAAUUAGUUAAACAUCCACCCUGUCAGCUAAUUUACCCUAUUUAUGUGCUCAACAAACUUUUUGAAAACUAAAGUCUACCCCACUUUUUAGUUAUACAUUCUUAUUUAACAGAGUUUAAUAUUUAUUCAGUUGUGUUCUUAUUUAAAGCCAUUAUACCUAAAAUACUUACGUUAUAAGCAUAUCUAGUAU
rnacentral:lncRNA from 1 species